rnacentral:rRNA from 1 species
UACGUAGGGUGCAAGCGUUGUCCGGAAUUAUUGGGCGUAAAGAGCUCGUAGGCGGUCUGUCGCGUCGGCUGUGAAAACUCGGGGCUCAACUCCGAGCUUGCAGUCGAUACGGGCAGGCUAGAGUUCGGCAGGGGAGACUGGAAUUCCUGGUGUAGCGGUGAAAUGCGCAGAUAUCAGGAGGAACACCGGUGGCGAAGGCGGGUCUCUGGGCCGAUACUGACGUUGAGGAGCGAAAGCGUGGGGAGCGAACAGG